CCUAUGGCAUCUCCUUCAGGAUCUGUGGGUCCCUGAGUUGUGGAAAGCCGCCCAGCCUUCUGAGCUGGGGGCCCGCAGGGUUAGCUCUGGUUGCUCUGGGCACUUGUGGGAGAGCAGGGUCAGAGCGGAGGGCAGCAGUUGGGGGCUGAAUGAUGGUGCCCACUCCUGCACACCCCGCGGUGGGCGAGGCCGCCCCUGCCUCCCUCUCCAAGGAGCCGACCACGAAGUCCGAGAAGCAGAGAGGGGAGAUGGGGAGGGAAUGGCAGUGGGGCUGCAGGGCACGCUCGGGUCAGCACUAACCGCUGGUGUAAAGGGACGAGUGGCCACUUCUGGCGGAACAACAGGCGGCGGUGGAAGGCAGCGCUCAGGCCGUCAGCGGGCCUGCGGGGGACGCACUCACCGAGGACCAGCAGCACUUUCCAGCUAGGCGCCCGAUGCGCACGGCAGAGCUCAGGGUCCGGCAGCGCCUCAAAGGCCUGCACCCGGGGCUCUGGCCCCGCCCGAGUACACGUGCGCGUCAGGCCCCGCCCCCAGGCGCCCUGGCCCCGCCCCUCGCUCAACCACCGCGCUUCCCGUGGACCCUGAUGCGGUGAUCUCAGGAGACCCCCAGCUGCUGCGGUUCCUGGCUGAGUGAGGCCAGGCCCUCAGGCUCCAGCAUGGCCCUGCAAGACCACUGCUGCACCCCUGCGGCUGUGCAGAGGAGGCUGCCCAUCCUGGCCUGGCGGUUGGACUCUGAAGAUGGACUUCAUCACUGGACUUUCAGUGGGGCUCAAGGUCAUUCCCCACGCACUGGCCUGUGCUGAGGUGACCUGACUCCUGCCCCAGGUGGCACCUGUGGCCCCACUUGGGUGCGGGUAGAAAAGAGGUCCCCUCAUCACAGCAGGUCACACUCAUGGAUGAUCGAGGUGUGGCUUCUACUCUGCCUUCAUGGGUGCUUCGUGUAGUUCUUCCUGGUCACCUUCUGGCAUGUUACCCUGAGCCCGCCUGUGCUGUGCUACUGGCUUUCCUGUGGGGCUGCAUGCAGUUAGCCAUGGGGUCCCUGUGCUUGGGGUUCCUGCUGUACUUCGUCUCCUGUGCCAUCAUUAAAGGUUUCACCUCUGCUGCUACCAUCACCGUGGACUUCGGGCAGAUCCAGGCUGGCCUGUGCAGUCUUCCCUGAUGGAGGGCAGUGAGCAGAUCAAGGCCAGGAGGAGGCGUGUGUGAGAAUCCAGCAGCUGACAUGUCUUCCCUCUCACUCUGUUCUGGGGCUGGAUCCACACUUUCCCUGUGCUUCCUUCUCGCCACACCCCUGGGAGGGAGGUUUAUCAUCAUCUGCAUUUAGAGAGGAGGAAACCCCUUAGAAAGUUUGAUCCUGAAGGCAUCUGUCACUUCUGGAAUCCACUACAACGACGAGGAGGAGAGUCACUUCAAUGCCUAUGAAAUGGAACCUUCAGGAGUUUUUAGUUAUAAAUCUUGGAAUCUGGAAGAUUCAAUUCAUGAUUGCAAAAUAUUUAUUUCCUAAUAUUUUGUUUUGUCAUAAACUGAUGCUUUUGAAAGAGA